AUCCAAAGCCAGCCGCAGCAGGUGGCGCUGCAGCAGUGGAGCGCUGAUAGGCUGGCAGGAUGACGAUGGGAAAUCUGAUCUCUGGGUCUGAAGCAUAUUUGACAUCGAGGUAGACCUGUG